AUGAAGUUGGAGUUGCUAGUAAUCGCGGAUCAGCAUGCCGCGGUGAAUACGUUCCCCGGGGCCUUGUACACACCGCCCGUCACACCAUGGGAGUUGGGAGCGCCCGAAGCCGGUGAGGUAACCGAGAGGAGCCAGCCGUCGAAGGUGAGACCAAUGACUGGGGUGAAGUCGUAACAAGGUACC
rnacentral:rRNA from 1 species